GUCAGCUGACACAUUCCAGCCAAUCAGCAGCAGACCCUCCCUCCCAGACCCUCCCACAUCCUGGACAGCAUCCAUUUUGAAACUGCAUUCUUAGUGAGCUGUCCAGGAGGUGGGAGGGACUGGGAGGAAGGGUCUGCUGCUGAUUGGCUGGAAUGUGUAAACCG
rnacentral:miRNA from 1 species